rnacentral:rRNA from 1 species
AAAACGACUCUCGGCAACGGAUAUCUCGGCUCUCGCAUCGAUGAAGAACGUGGCGAAAUGCGAUACUUGGUGUGAAUUGCAGAAUCCCGUGAACCAUCGAGUCUUUGAACGCAAGUUGCGCCCCAAGCCUUCUGGCCGAGGGCACGUCUGCCUGGGUGUCACAA